rnacentral:rRNA from 2 species
AGAGAAGAAAGGGAGGCUCUUCGGAGCUUUCGCUGGAGGAGGGGCUUGCGUCUGAUUAGCUAGUUGGAGGGAUAACGGCCCACCAAGGCGACGAUCAGUAGCCGGUCUGAGAGGAUGAACGGCCACAUUGGGACUGAGACACGGCCCAGACUCCUACGGGAGGCAGCAGUGGGGAAUCUUCCGCAAUGGACGAAAGUCUGACGGAGCAACGCCGCGUGAACGAUGACGGCCUUCGGGUUGUAAAGCUCUGUUAUACGGGACGAAUGGUACGACGGUCAAUACCCGUCGUAAGUGACGGUACCGUAAGAGAAAGCCACGGCUAACUACGUGCCAGCAGCCGCGGUAAUACGUAGGUGGCAAGCGUUGUCCGGAAUUAUUGGGCGUAAAGGGCGCGCCGGCGGCGUCGUAAGUCGGUCUUAAAAGUGCGGGGCUUAACCCCGUGAGGGGACCGAAACUGCGAUGCUAGAGUAUCGGAGAGGAAAGCGGAAUUCCUAGUGUAGCGGUGAAAUGCGUAGAUAUUCGGAGGAACACCAGUGGCGAAAGCGGCUAUCUGGACGACAACUGACGAUGAGGCGCGAAAGCCAGGCGAGCAAACGGGAUGAGAUACCCCGGUAGUCGGGGCCGUUUACGAUGGAUACUAGGUGCAGGAGGUAUCGACCCCUUCUGUGCCGGAGUUAACGCAAUAAGUAUCCCGCCUGGGGA